UACGAGUGAACGCCAUUGCCGUCACCAGAACCAACAUUAAGAGGAUUAAACGCAGCAAACCAAUAGUUGCCUCUCGGGAUAAAUAUACAAUGCAGUUUCCUCUUGGGAUAGAUAGGAUUAGAAUCAACCUCUACGUGGACAGCAGGCUCGAUCUAAGUCGGAGCGAACCAAUAGUUGUAGAAACAAUUCGAAAAGGAGAUCUCCAGACGAAGCUGUGGCACAGAGGUGACGAAUGGGAUGCCAAAGUCAGUCAUUGGGCGACUCAAGGAGUUUAUGUUUGUUGAAAUUUUAUUUUGGUGCAUAGACGUUCCCGCACUUUUGUUUAUUAAUUUAAAUUAUGUUUGUGAACGCCUAGUUUAUGGGAACUAGUCGGUCACACCAGAUUACCUUUU